CCUACGCGUGGCAGCAGUGGGGAAUAUUGCACAAUGGGGUGAACCCUUAUGCAGCGACGCCGCGUGGGUUAAGGAGUAUUUCGGUAUGUAAAGCCCUAUCAGCAGGGAAGAACAAUGACGGUACCUGACUAAGAAGCACCGGCUAAAUACGUGCCAGCAGCCGCGGUAAUACGUAUGGUGCAAGCGUUAUCCGGAUUUACUUGGUGUAAGGGGAGCGCAGGCGGCGCGUUAAGCCUGGGUGGAACGCACGCGGCCCAACCGCGGGACUGCAUUGGGAACUGGCGCGCUGGAGUGCCGGAGGGGUAGGCGGAAUUCCUAGUGUAGCGGUGAAAUGCGUAGAUAUUAGGAGGAACACCAGUGGCGAAGGCGGCCUACUGGACGGUGACUGACGCUGAGGCUCGAAAGCGUGGGGAGCAAACAGGAUUAGAACCCUUGUAGUC
rnacentral:rRNA from 1 species